UACGGAGGGUGCAAGCGUUGUCCGGAAUCACUGGGCGUAAAGGGCGCGUAGGCGGCCCGGUAAGUAGGGGGUGAAAUCCUGCGGCUUAACCGCAGGGCUGCCUUCUAAACUGUCGGGCUCGAGCACGGUAGAGGCAGAUGGGAUUCCCGGUGUAGCGGUGGAAUGCGUAGAGAUCGGGAAGAACAUCAGUGGCGAAGGCGGUCUGCUGGGCCGUUGCUGACGCUGAGGCGCGACAGCGUGGGGAGCAAGCAGG
rnacentral:rRNA from 1 species